UUAAGCGACUAAGCGUACACGGUGGAUGCCCUGGCAGUCAGAGGCGAUGAAGGACGUGCUAAUCUGCGAAAAGCGUCGGUAAGGUGAUAUGAACCGUUAUAACCGGCGAUGUCCGAAUGGGGAAACCCAGUGCAAUUCGUUGCACUAUCGUUAACUGAAUACAUAGGUUAACGAGGCGAACCGGGGGAACUGAAACAUCUAAGUACCCCGAGGAAAAGAAAUCAACCGAGAUUCCCCCAGUAGCGGCGAGCGAACGGGGAGCAGCCCAGAGUCUGAAUCAGCUUGUGUGUUAGUGGAACGGUCUGGAAAGUCCGACGGUACAGGGUGAUAGUCCCGUACACCAAAAUGCACAGGCUGUGAACUCGAAGAGUAGGGCGGGACACGUGGUAUCCUGUCUGAAUAUGGGGGGACCAUCCUCCAAGGCUAAAUACUCCUGACUGACCGAUAGUGAACCAGUACCGUGAGGGAAAGGCGAAAAGAACCCCGGCGAGGGGAGUGAAAAAGAACCUGAAACCGUGUACGUACAAGCAGUGGGAGCACCUUCGGGUGUGACUGCGUACCUUUUGUAUAAUGGGUCAGCGACUUAUAUUCUGUAGCAAGGUUAACCGUAUAGGGGAGCCGCAGGGAAACCGAGUCUUAACUGGGCGUUAAGUUGCAGGGUAUAGACCCGAAACCCGGUGAUCUAGCCAUGGGCAGGUUGAAGGUUGGGUAACACUAACUGGAGGACCGAACCGACUAAUGUUGAAAAAUUAGCGGAUGACUUGUGGCUGGGGGGGAAAGGCCAAUCAAACCGGGAGAUAGCUGGUUCUCCCCGAAAGCUAUUUAGGUAGCGCCUCGUGAACUCAUCUUCGGGGGUAGAGCACUGUUUCGGCUAGGGGGUCAUCCCGACUUACCAACCCGAUGCAAACUACGAAUACCGAAGAAUGUUAUCACGGGAGACACACGGCGGGUGCUAACGUCCGUCGUGAAGAGGGAAACAACCCAGACCGCCAGCUAAGGUCCCAAAGUCAUGGUUAAGUGGGAAACGAUGUGGGAAGGCACAGACAGCCAGGAUGUUGGCUUAGAAGCAGCCAUCAUUUAAAGAAAGCGUAAUAGCUCACUGGUCGAGUCGGCCUGCGCGGAAGAUGUAACGGGGCUAAACCAUGCACCGAAGCUGCGGCAGCGACACUAUGUGUUGUUGGGUAGGGGAGCGUUCUGUAAGCCUGCGAAGGUGUGCUGUGAGGCAUGCUGGAGGUAUCAGAAGUGCGAAUGCUGACAUAAGUAACGAUAAAGCGGGUGAAAAGCCCGCUCGCCGGAAGACCAAGGGUUCCUGUCCAACGUUAAUCGGGGCAGGGUGAGUCGACCCCUAAGGCGAGGCCGAAAGGCGUAGUCGAUGGGAAACAGGUUAAUAUUCCUGUACUUGGUGUUACUGCGAAGGGGGGACGGAGAAGGCUAUGUUAGCCGGGCGACGGUUGUCCCGGUUUAAGCAUGUAGGCUGAUUAUCCAGGCAAAUCCGGAUAAUCAAGGCUGAGGUGUGAUGACGAGGCACUACGGUGCUGAAGUAACAAAUGCCCUGCUUCCAGGAAAAGCCUCUAAGCAUCAGGUAACAUCAAAUCGUACCCCAAACCGACACAGGUGGUCAGGUAGAGAAUACCAAGGCGCUUGAGAGAACUCGGGUGAAGGAACUAGGCAAAAUGGUGCCGUAACUUCGGGAGAAGGCACGCUGGUGUGUAGGUGAAGCCCCUGCGGAUGGAGCUGAGACCAGUCGAAGAUACCAGCUGGCUGCAACUGUUUAUUAAAAACACAGCACUGUGCAAACACGAAAGUGGACGUAUACGGUGUGACGCCUGCCCGGUGCCGGAAGGUUAAUUGAUGGGGUUAUCCGUAAGGAGAAGCUCUUGAUCGAAGCCCCGGUAAACGGCGGCCGUAACUAUAACGGUCCUAAGGUAGCGAAAUUCCUUGUCGGGUAAGUUCCGACCUGCACGAAUGGCGUAAUGAUGGCCAGGCUGUCUCCACCCGAGACUCAGUGAAAUUGAACUCGCUGUGAAGAUGCAGUGUACCCGCGGCAAGACGGAAAGACCCCGUGAACCUUUACUAUAGCUUGACACUGAACAUUGAGCCUUGAUGUGUAGGAUAGGUGGGAGGCUUUGAAGCGUGGACGCCAGUCUGCGUGGAGCCAACCUUGAAAUACCACCCUUUAAUGUUUGAUGUUCUAACGUUGGCCCCUGACCGGGGUUGCGGACAGUGUCUGGUGGGUAGUUUGACUGGGGCGGUCUCCUCCCAAAGCGUAACGGAGGAGCACGAAGGUUAGCUAAUCCUGGUCGGACAUCAGGAGGUUAGUGCAAUGGCAUAAGCUAGCUUGACUGCGAGCGUGACGGCGCGAGCAGGUGCGAAAGCAGGUCAUAGUGAUCCGGUGGUUCUGAAUGGAAGGGCCAUCGCUCAACGGAUAAAAGGUACUCCGGGGAUAACAGGCUGAUACCGCCCAAGAGUUCAUAUCGACGGCGGUGUUUGGCACCUCGAUGUCGGCUCAUCACAUCCUGGGGCUGAAGUAGGUCCCAAGGGUAUGGCUGUUCGCCAUUUAAAGUGGUACGCGAGCUGGGUUUAGAACGUCGUGAGACAGUUCGGUCCCUAUCUGCCGUGGGCGCUGGAGAAUUGAGGGGGGCUGCUCCUAGUACGAGAGGACCGGAGUGGACGCAUCACUGGUGUUCGGGUUGUCAUGCCAAUGGCACUGCCCGGUAGCUAAAUGCGGAAGAGAUAAGUGCUGAAAGCAUCUAAGCACGAAACUUGCCCCGAGAUGAGUUCUCCCUGAGACUUUAAGUCUCCUGAAGGAACGUUGAAGACGACGACGUUGAUAGGCCGGGUGUGUAAGCGCAGCGAUGCGUUGAGCUAACCGGUACUAAUGAACCGUGAGGCUUAACCUU
rnacentral:rRNA from 1 species